GACGGAGGGUGCAAGCGUUUGUUCGGAUUGACUGGGCGUAAAGGGCGUGUAGGCGGUCGGUCAAGUCUGGUGUGAAAGCCCGGGGCUCAGCUCCGGAAGUGCAUCGGAAACUAGCUGGCUGGAGCGCGAUAGAGGAGGGCGGAAUUCCUGGUGUAGCGGUGAAAUGCGUAGAUAUCAGGAGGAACACCGGCGGCGAAGGCGGCCCUCUGGAUCGUUGCUGACGCUGAGACGCGAAAGCGUGGGGAGCAAACAGG
rnacentral:rRNA from 1 species